AGUACGCAUUCUACCUUUUUCUACAAUGAAUCCACCAGCAGAAAUUCCUGUACACAUCUUAUCAACAAAGAAUUUGAACCUCAAAGAGUGGCUCAAAGAGGUCAGGAGGCACCUUCAACACUUUUGUUGGAGAUCUCCUUGUCUAGAUCAUCAGAUUCUCACUCUGUCACCUAGGCUGCAGUGCAGUGGUGCGAUCUCAACUCACUGCAACCUCUACCUCCUGGGUUCAAGCAAUUCUCCUGCCUCAGCCUCCCAAGUAGCUGGGAUUACAGAGCUCAUGGUUUUUAAACAACUUGUGGUAAAAAUCUGGUGGAAAAGAUAACAACAGCAUAUGAUAUGGCAGAGUUGCACAGAAGAAUCAGAACAUUGUUUUAGAGAAACGUUGGGCAAUUAAUUAAGCCAGCUGAUUAAGUUUUAAAGGAGGAAGAUGGAACUUGGAGAAGACAUACAGGCUGAAGAAAAAAAAAUAUUUUGGAAGUGAUCAGCACAUUCUAAUUGACCAUGGAUGCUCUCUGCAUUCAUGUGGUAACCCAGGGAGAGUAUGGAGUGAAAAGAGGAUCACCAAAGAAACUUGGGGUAUCUCAACAUUUAGGAUGUGUGCAGAGAAGAUGAGAUCAUUAAAAUGUACCAAGAG
rnacentral:antisense_RNA from 1 species